ACUGCAUCGCAUCACAGCAUAUUCCCCCAAUUCCCUCAUUUUUAGGGCUCAGAUUCCCCAAACAUUCAAACAACUUUCAGCUUCAACAAUCACUCAAAUUCCAAUCAAUGGCGACUCCUGAUGUUCUCCCGCACGAUCAUUUCUCAUCAUCUUCAUUCGAUCACACCAAAGGCGAUGCGAAAUCACGUGGAUUGGCGCUCGAGAAGAAGAUUGAAUACCUCGAGAGCUUGAACGA